UACGUAGGGUGCGAGCGUUGUCCGGAAUUAUUGGGCGUAAAGGGCUCGUAGGCGGUUUGUCGCGUCGGGAGUGAAAUCCACUGGCUUAACUGGUGGCUUGCUUUCGAUACGGGCAGACUAGAGUUCGGUAGGGGAGACUGGAAUUCCUGGUGUAGCGGUGAAAUGCGCAGAUAUCAGGAGGAACACCGGUGGCGAAGGCGGGUCUCUGGGCCGAAACUGACGCUGAGGAGCGAAAGCGUGGGGAGCGAACAGG
rnacentral:rRNA from 1 species